rnacentral:rRNA from 1 species
UACAGAGGUCUCAAGCGUUGUUCGGAUUCAUUGGGCGUAAAGGGUGUGUAGGUGGCGCCGGUAAGUCGGGUGUGAAAUUUCGGAGCUUAACUUCCGAAACUGCAUUUCGAUAACUGCGGUGCUUUGAGGACUGGAGAGGAGACUGGAAUUCAUGGUGUAGCAGUGAAAUGCGUAGAGAUCAAUGAGGAAGACCAGUGGCGAAAGGCGGGUCGACUGGGACAAGUUCCGUGACACUG